rnacentral:lncRNA from 1 species
AGCACUGCUAGGAGUAGAGGAUUUCAUCUGUGCCUUCGCUGUUCUCACACUUACCACUGAAUCGAUGCUGUUUACACAGAAGCAGCAUUAUAGAACAUUCUGCAAUUUACCUGCAAAAUGGAAUUACUGUUUAUGGCUGUUAGCAGUUGCAACAUUUCUUUACGCCCGGUGACCCCCAUUUCCAUGUGCCCAGCUCCCAGAAGGCGGCUGAGUCUGGUGCGGGGACGGCUCAAAGCACACAGGCUCCAGGGGGGCUGCUCCAACGGGACGAGUGUCUGCGGGAGGAAUUGCCAAGCCCUGCAAAGCCCGCCUAGCCCACCUGUGUCCUGGGGGCUCGCCCUCAGCUCUGAAUGAUCAGAAGGCUCAAGGAAGGCCAGUGUUCUGCAGUGUCCUUCGGCGGUGCCGUCUGGUGGGGAAGGAGCUCGCAACAGCUGCAAGAACCGACCCCUGUGAGCUUUCUGCCCACGAUAACCCCAGAAAUUUCAAGCAACAGUUCUUGGAAACCAUAUGGAGAUCAGCCUGGGAGUUUUGCAAGACUACCCUACAGGCUACGAGCCAGGAUAGAGAGCCUGAACGAGUCUUCUCCACUCUGCUGGCCACAAAAUGGCAUUCAAUUUCAUGGCUGGAGAAUAAAAAACACCUUUACGCUUAGUUAG